rnacentral:rRNA from 1 species
GACGAACGCUGGCGGCGUGCUUAACACAUGCAAGUCGAACGGAAAGGCCCUGCUUUUGUGGGGUGCUCGAGUGGCGAACGGGUGGGUAACACGUGAGUAACCUGCCCUUGACUUUGGGAUAACUUCAGGAAACUGGGGCUAAUACCGGAUAGGAGCUCCUGCUGCAUGGUGGGGGUUGGAAAGUUUCGGCGGUUGGGGAUGGACUCGCGGCUUAUCAGCUUGUUGGUGGGGUAGUGGCUUACCAAGGCUUUGACGGGUAGCCGGCCUGAGAGGGUGACCGGCCACAUUGGGACUGAGAUACGGCCCAGACUCCUACGGGAGGCAGCAGUGGGGAAUAUUGCACAAUGGACGGAAGCCUGAUGCAGCAACGCCGCGUGCGGGAUGACGGCCUUCGGGUUGUAAACCGCUUUCGCCUGUGACGAAGCGUGAGUGACGGUAAUGGGUAAAGAAGCACCGGCUAACUACGUG